GAUGAACGCUGGCGGCGUGCCUAAUACAUGCAAGUCGAGCGAACAGACGAGGAGCUUGCUCCUCUGACGUUAGCGGCGGACGGGUGAGUAACACGUGGAUAACCUACCUAUAAGACUGGGAUAACUUCGGGAAACCGGAGCUAAUACCGGAUAAUAUAUUGAACCGCAUGGUUCAAUAGUGAAAGACGGUUUUGCUGUCACUUAUAGAUGGAUCCGCGCCGCAUUAGCUAGUUGGUAAGGUAACGGCUUACCAAGGCAACGAUGCGUAGCCGACCUGAGAGGGUGAUCGGCCAAACUGGAACUGAGAAACGGUACAGACUCCUACGGGAGGCAGCAGUAGGGAAUCUUACGCAAUGGGCGAAAGCCUGACGGAGCAACGCCGCGUGAGUGAUGAAGGUCUUCGGAUCGUAAAACUCUGUUAUUAGGGAAGAACAAAUGUGUAAGUAACUAUGCACGUCUUGACGGUACCUAAUCAGAAAGCCACGGCUAACUACGUG
rnacentral:rRNA from 1 species